CCUACGGGUGGCAGCAGUGGGGAAUAUUGCACAAUGGGGGAAACCCUGAUGCAGCGACGCCGCGUGAGUGAAGAAGUAUUUCGGUAUGUAAAGCUCUAUCAGCAGGGAAGAAAAUGACGGUACCUGAUUAAGAAGCCCCGGCUAACUACGUGCAAGCAGCCGCGGCAAUACGUAGGGGGCCAGCGUUAUCCGGAUUUACUGGGUGUAAAGGGAGCGUAGACGGCAGCACAAGUCUGGAGUGAAAUGCCGGGGCUUAACCGCGGAACUGAUUUUGAAACUGUGCAGCUAGAGUGCAGGAGAGGGAAGUGGAAUUCGUGGUGUAGCGGUGAAAUGCGGAGAUAUUAGGAGGAACACCGGUGGCGAAGGCAGCUUACUAGACUGUAACUGACGUUGAGGCUCGAAAGCGUGGGGAGCAAACAGGAUUAGAUACCCCUGUAGUC
rnacentral:rRNA from 1 species